UACGUAGGGUGCAAGCGUUAAUCGGAAUUACUGGGCGUAAAGGGAGCGUAGGCGGACAUUUAAGUCAAGGGUGAAAUCCCGGGGCUCAACCUGGGAAUUGCGUUGGAGACUGCAAGGCUAGAAUCUGGCAGAGGGGGGUAGAAUUCCACGUGUAGCAGUGAAAUGCGUAGAGAUGUGGAGGAACACCGAUGGCGAAGGCAGCCCCCUGGGUCAAGAUUGACGCUCAUGCACGAAAGCGUGGGGAGCAAACAGG
rnacentral:rRNA from 1 species